rnacentral:rRNA from 2 species
AACUUUCAACAACGGAUCUCUUGGUUCUGGCAUCGAUGAAGAACGCAGCAAAAUGCGAUAAGUAAUGUGAAUUGCAGAAUUCAGUGAAUCAUCGAAUCUUUGAACGCACAUUGCGCCCGCCAGUAUUCUGGCGGGCAUGCCUGUUCGAGCGUC